rnacentral:rRNA from 1 species
AUUGAACGCUGGCGGCAUGCCUUACACAUGCAAGUCGAACGGUAACAGGUUAAGCUGACGAGUGGCGAACGGGUGAGUAAUGUAUCGGAACGUGCCCAGUCGUGGGGGAUAACUGCUCGAAAGAGCAGCUAAUACCGCAUACGACCUGAGGGUGAAAGCGGGGGAUCGCAAGACCUCGCGCGAUUGGAGCGGCCGAUAUCAGAUUAGGUAGUUGGUGAGGUAAAGGCUCACCAAGCCGACGAUCUGUAGCUGGUCUGAGAGGACGACCAGCCACACUGGGAUUGAGACACGGCCCAGACUCCUACGGGAGGCAGCAGUGGGGAAUUUUGGACAAUGGGCGCAAGCCUGAUCCAGCCAUGCCGCGUGCGGGAAGAAGGCCUUCGGGUUGUAAACCGCUUUUGUCAGGGAAGAAAAGGUUCUGGCUAAUACCUGGGACUCAUGACGGUACCUGAAGAAUAAGCACCGGCUAACUACGUG